AGCAGCCGCGGUAAUUCCAGCUCCAAUAGCGUAUAUUAAAGUUGUUGCAGUUAAAAAGCUCGUAGUUGAAUUUCGGGAUCAAAUUGUUGGUCGUGCUUCGGUACGCACUGGCAUUAUUGGUUCCUACCUUCUGAAGAACCGCGAUGUCAUUAAUUUGGUGUCGUGGGGAAUCAGGACUGUUACUUUGAAAAAUUAGAGUGUUUAAAGCAGGCUUACGCUUGAAUACAUUAGCAUGGAAUAAUGAAAUAGGACGUUUGAUUCUAUUUUGUUGGUUUCUAGGAUCGACGUAAUGAUUAAUAGGGAUAGUUGGGGGCAUUAGUAUUCAAUUGUCAGAGGUGAAAUUCUUGGAUUUAUUGAAGACUAACUACUGCGAAAGCAUUUGCCAAGGAUGUUUUCAUUAAUCAAGAACGAAAGUUAGGGGAUCGAAGACGAUCAGAUACCGUCGUAGUCUUAACCAUAGACUAUGCCGACU
rnacentral:rRNA from 1 species